rnacentral:lncRNA from 1 species
GCGCGCGUGGCCGCCGGCUUUGGCCGGGCUGUGCUCCCGCGUCCCGCGUUGGCAGCUUAGAGUGGGGCGCGGGUCGGUGUGCUGAGGUCCCUAGCCUGCUGUGACACUCUCUCAGGAGGUGCCGCACUUCCACCAGCCGGCAGGACUGGAGUGGGGCGCAUGUGUAAAUCGGCAGCAGCGACCGCGGGCCGUGUCCUGAGGGCGGGGAGCGCGGGCCUCCGCGUGAGGCGCCGCGGGGUGAGGCCACGUGCGCGAGUUCCCGGGUCCCUCACUGGGGAACCGGGCUGGCCGCGCCCUGCGUCCUUUCCAGAAGGGGCUUUUACCCAGAUGCUGGCUCAGUGCUGCCCUGCAGUGGCCAAUGGUGGGAAUGGCUACUUGGAUUGGCCUCUUCAAACUGGAGUGCUUCAGGGCUGCCACGUGAGUUCUGCAGUCAGGGCAGUCCUGCUGCUUCCCCAAGGGUUCACUGAGCUCCGAUGCAACCCAUUGCGUGGAUGCUCUGUGACCCUCUGUCCCCCCUCCCGGCGAGUGAGGGAGGCUUACACCUGAAGUCUGUUCUUGCUGACUCUGCCAUCAAAGGUGCUCCCUUGGGGAAUGAGGAUUGUAGCCGGCAGCCAGAGGGGGCGGAGAGACACCGUCAGCUAAGGCAGAAAGGGUGUGUGCGGUCUGGAUACCUGGACUUUAAUACGAAGCCUUUUUUUCCAGCUGUGUGACCUCAGGUAAGUCACUUAACCCCUCUGAGUCUCAGUUCCUGCCUCAGUGAAAUAGAAGUGGUAAGAAUACCCUUUAGGGGCUAUAGUAGCUUCACAUGAAAUAAUAAAUGUGGCCAUGCUUUGUAGAUUGUAAAGUACUACGCCAACAUUCACUGUCAUUUUUUUUUUCUGAUAUGUUCUAAAGGAGAUGGGGGAAAGGAAGUUCCUAGAGUUGGGCAAUUCUGCUUUCUCUAAUCCUUGCUUGUUACAGUGAGACUAGUUGGCAGCCAGUCUAAGCAGCUAGUCCCAAAGCACAGAGGGUAAGGAAGCCGGAUUUGGGUCAGGGAGCGAGGGUGGGUGGGGACCCGGAGGAUGGCCCUCUCAGCGCCCACGACUGACCGAGACCCUCGAGGAACUCGGGAGGAGGGUCCUAGGGGAAGAGGGCAGCAGGUGGGGGGCGGCCAGGUGGGUGAGGCAGUGGGUGAGGCAGCGCUGUCAUAUGGGGAAACGCCCCUGGUCACCAAAACCCGUGCUGGGGCUUCUGAGCACGAAGACACACAGACGGUGCCACCUCCCUCCUGACAUGUGGCUGCAGCUGCGGGAACAUGAUGAGAUAAGUCACACGCAGGGCUUAGACCGUCGCGGACCAGCAGCUACAGAGGCGGGUGGGUAGAAGGAAAGAUAGAGUUUUUCAAGCAAAAAAAAAAAAAAAAAAAAAAAAAAAAAAAAAAAACCCACAGAAAAACCAAGAAAACAAACACAAAAGACCCUAAGCCAGCACUUUCAUUCCCCGGGGCUGAGAAAUGUGGACUGCCAUGGCUUUGCCGUCGCCAGGGCUGUGCCUGCAUCGUGGGCGGGGAGGCGGUCGUGUGCACUGCCCAGCACGGUCCCACACGGCCCUCAAAUGGGAGUUUUUCACUAAAAAUGACCCGAGCAUUCUGGUAACGAGAGUUGCCACUCAAGAUAGGCCUUGACUCAUUCCUCCCACAGAGGAGGAGCGGAGUCAGCAACAGAGAUUAGAAUUCACGUCUGAGCAGACCUCGAGUGCCCUGCCCUCUCCCCUCUCCCCUCCCAACAUAUUUUCCCUUUUGGUCUCUGGCUGCCUUACGUGUCACUGUGACAGCUGUGUCCCCUUGGUUUUGUUGUCUCUGGGAGUUGUCUACACAAGUGCAAGAAUUCCUGGAGGUGCAGGCAACAGUCCGCCUGGACUGUGGGGCAGCCGCACCCGGGCUCCGGGACUCCUUUGGACCGUGUGGGCGGGGCCCAAAGGGGUGAGCAAAGGAGCGGGCCAGGGACAGAGAUUAUUGUUCCCACUUUACAGAUGAGGAAACUGAGAGUUAGAGGAGUAAAGAAAGCACCGAACCUCACUUCUUCAUCACAAGCUGUGCAUUUUCUUCAGACCCCAUUCAUGGGCAACUGCAAGCUCUUUGUCGCAGAGAAAACGGUCAUUCAUUGCCUUCCCCGCAACCUCCCCCAGCCCAGGACGCGCAGGCAGCACGGGGUCUCUCCAGCUUCACCGUUUCGAGAAGGCCUGCCCGUAAGCGGGACAGACCUGCUGCUGAGUGGUGUCCUGAUAAUUAACUGCGCCAGCUGAGAGUCUCUCUCUCUCUCUCUGUUUCUGGAAUCUGAACUGGGACCUAAGCAGGCGUCACUCAGAGAUUCAGGAGACUCAGGAGUGAGGUGGCCAUUGCGGAGCCGCACCCCAAGGUGCUGCGUGGGGAGAAGCUCGGAAAGCCAGACAGUCGGGGGAGCUGGCAGUGCAGGCACAAGACAGCCCAUGGGAAGGAGAGGUCCCCACAGGGAGUGGCCAACUGCCGGAUCUAGGACAAGCCCCACUCUUAGGGCAGCGACCUUAAAGUCUGCCGUGUGGGGCGUCAGGGUUGCAGGGCUGCAGUGUCUGCUGCGUGUAUUUCCCGCUUUUCUGCUUUCCCGCUGGGUGUGGUUACUGCCAUUCUCUUGCCCUGGUUGUAUGAGCGAGUAUUGAAUUUUAGCAGGAAGCAGAUAAUUGGAAUUCUGAGGUUGUAGGUCUCUGGAUGGAGAGGCCCUACAUCUGUGCGUGAAACAGGGAUUCCUGCACCUCACUGCUCAGCCCAACAUGCCACGCUGAGCACCCGACAUGCCACACUGAGAUCCUGCACCCACGAUGCCACGCUGAGAUCCUGCACCCGACAUGCCACGCUGAGAUCCUGCACCCACGAUGCCACGCUGAGAUCCCCCACCCGACAUGCCACGCUGAGAUCCCGCACCCGACAUGCCACGCUGAGAUCCCGCACGAGAGAGUUGGGGUGGGGCUCGAGGCUGCGCUCCUGGGGGAGGGAUGAGUGUAUUGCCUGCAGGAGGGAGAACGAGCCGAGGGCUUGGAGACGUGGAGGCAGAGUGAUCAUGCAUGUGCUCUCCCAGGACCCCAGCUCCCCGACUCCGGGCACUUGGUGAUGCCGCUUGCACACCCCGCCCCUUUUGCUCUGGCGGGGCGGGGCCAUGCGGUAGGUCUGGCGGAUGAGCUGUGAGUGGAAGGCUAACCCGUCCACGUGAGGCCCUCAGCCUCUUGUCCUUGGUCAGUAUGGCCGCCAACCUCCCAGAUGGUGGCGGCGGCUCCCUCAGCUGGAUCCUGGAGAGAGGAAACAUGGAGCAACACGGCCAGGACAUGCGUGAUGGACACGGAGCCCGUCCAGUGAAAGCAACCACAGUUGUUACGAGCCAUGCCGCUUUGGGGAUUGCCUGUUACUGUGACGGACCCUGUGUGUUCUGAUCUUUAGAUCUAGCUGGUGACACUCCCUGGUGCCAUGUUCCAG